AUACGUAGGGUGCAAGCGUUAAUCGGAAUUACUGGGCGUAAAGCGUGCGCAGGCGGUUUUGUAAGACAGUGGUGAAACCCCCGGGCUCAACCUGGGAACUGCCAUUGUGACUGCAAGGCUGGAGUGCGGCAGAGGGGGAUGGAAUUCCGCGUGUAGCAGUGAAAUGCGUAGAUAUGCGGAGGAACACCGAUGGCGAAGGCAAUCCCCUGGGCCUGCACUGACGCUCAUGCACGAAAGCGUGGGGAGCAAACAGGAUUAGAUACCCUGGUAGUCCACGCCCUAAACGAUGUCAACUGGUUGUUGGGGAUUUAUUUUCUCAGUAACGAAGCUAACGCGUGAAGUUGACCGCCUGGGGAGUACGGCCGCAAGGUUAAAACUCAAAGGAAUUGACGGGG
rnacentral:rRNA from 1 species